rnacentral:lncRNA from 1 species
AUCAGAGGGGGCUGGAAGGAAUGGGGGAUGAGGCACCGGCAGGCUGGAGAGGGGAGACCAGAUAGGAGGAUUUCAAGUCUCUGGUUCUGCCUCUGAGGACCCCAGACCAUUCCAGGAAGAAGAUGCCAACACCCAGCCACCUUCUACCCAGCCAACUAGGGGCAAAGCCAGCAAAGAGAGCACCAGCACCGUUUUUGAGUGAGCCUUCUUUCUGUGGACAUAGCUCUGUCACUGCACUGACUGGUCCAGAAUGAAACUCACCCUCCAGCCGUUGGCAGGAACAUCCUCAGAGACCCAGCAAUUUCCAGGAAAGCCCUGAACAAGGGACCAGAGCCUGGAGAAGGGUGAUGUCUGGUAGCCCUGUUUACUUCUGAGCAGGGAUCCAGACCCCUAGAGAGGCCCAGCCCAAGCUUGGCACACAUGCACGGAAGCGGGUGCGCAUGGAUGAUUCAACAGGCAAGUGGGGGAGGGCUUUGGGAUCCCCUCUGCAAGUGCCCACACUCUGGUCCAGGCUGCUUGCUGCGGCCCAAGCAAAGCCCAGGGGAACAGGCAAAGAGCCAAUUGCAGAGCAGCGGUUGGCUGCUCUGCCAGACCCACCCCGCCUCCUGGGGAGCUGGUCAAGGAAACCAGUGGCAGAGGAGACGAUGGGACAGAGUGAUCUCAGAUGACCCUCACAGCCCUGCUACUCAGGGUCGCGUGAGGGUCCUUGAGCCUGGCCAUCCACGAGGCAGGCUGCCGGCCUCCACAGCUCUGGCUGAUCCAACCGGGAGGGCCAGAUACGAAGGAGGUGAUGGUAGCACGCUGAAAGGCCUCUCCAAAAAGCCAGCCCAAGCUCCGGGAAUACACAAAGGCCACGAGUCACGGUGUUUGUCCGGACCUGCACCAGGCGUUUCCUCAACGCGAGCCCACCUGAAGGAGUCCAGCCGACAGCUGAUCAGAAGCUGUGAGCUCCCCCGGGCCUGA